UAAGCGGAGGAAAAGAAACUAACAAGGAUUCCCCUAGUAACUGCGAGUGAAGCGGGAAAAGCUCAAAUUUAAAAUCUGGCGGUCUUUGNCCGUCCGAGUUGUAAUUUAGAGAAGCGUCUUCCGCGCUGGACCGUGCACAAGUCUCCUGGAAUGGAGCGUCAUAGAGGGUGAGAAUCCCGUCUUUGGCACGGAUGCCUGGUGCUUCUGUGAUGCGCUCUCGAAGAGUCGAGUUGUUUGGGAAUGCAGCUCAAAAUGGGUGGUGAACUCCAUCUAAAGCUAAAUAUUGGCGAGAGACCGAUAGCGAACAAGUACCGUGAGGGAAAGAUGAAAAGCACUUUGGAAAGAGAGUGAAACAGUACGUGAAAUUGUUGAAAGGGAAACGCUCGAAGUCAGUCGCGUCGACCGAGACUCAGCCUUGCCUUGGCUUGGUGUACUUCUCGGCCCGACGGGUCAGCACCAAUUUUGCCCCUCGGAUAAUGGCAAGGGAAAGGUGGCACCUUUACGGGUGUGUUAUAGUCUCCUGUCGAAUGCGAGGGGUGGGAUUGAGGAACUCAGCGCGCACCUCAGUGUCGGGGCUUCGGCCCACGUCACGCGCUUAGGAUGCUGGCGUAAUGGCUUUAAGCAACC
rnacentral:rRNA from 1 species